UAGGGAAUCUUCGGCAAUGGGGGGAACCCUGACCGAGCAACGCCGCGUGAGUGAAGAAGGUUUUCGGAUCGUAAAGCUCUGCUGUUAAGGAAGAACGAGUGUGAGAAUGGAAAGUUCAUACUGUGACGGUACUUAACCAGAAAGGGACGGCUAACUACGUGCCAGCAGCCGCGGUAAUACGUAGGUCCCGAGCGUUGUCCGGAUUUAUUGGGCGUAAAGCGAGCGCAGGCGGUUAGAUAAGUCUGAAGUUAAAGGCAGUGGCUCAACCAUUGUAGGCUUUGGAAACUGUUUAACUUGAGUGCAGAAGGGGAGAGUGGAAUUCCAUGUGUAGCGGUGAAAUGCGUAGAUAUAUGGAGGAACACCGGUGGCGAAAGCGGCUCUCUGGUCUGUAACUGACGCUGAGGCUCGAAAGCGUGGGGAGCGAACAGGAUUAGAUACCCUGGUAGUCCACGCCGUAAACGAUGAGUGCUAGGUAUUAGGUCCUUUCCGGGACUUAGUGCCGCAGCUAACGCAUUAAGCACUCCGCCUGGGGAGUACGACCGCAAGGUUG
rnacentral:rRNA from 1 species